rnacentral:sRNA from 1 species
GCUGGGUGUGGUGGUGCACACCUGUAAUCCCAGCCUCAGGGGAGGCUGAGGCAGGAGGAUCGCAAGUUCAAAGCCAGCCUUAGCAACUUGGCAAGGCCCUCAACAACUUAGCGUGACCCUGUCUCUA